AUUGAACGCUGGCGGCAGGCCUAACACAUGCAAGUCGGGCGAGAGGCGGACGGGUGAGUAAUGUAUGGGGAUCUGCCUGAUGGAGGGGGAUAACUACUGGAAACGGUAGCUACUACCGCAUACCACCAGAUGAACCCCUCUGGGUUGAGCUUGUCGGUGCGGUAACGGCUCACCAAGACUACGAUCCCUAGCUGGUCUGAGAGGCUGACAGGCCACACUGGGACUGAGACACGGCCCAGACUCCGACGGGAGGCAGCAGUGGGGAAUAUUGGACAAUGGUCGCAAGCCUGAUGCAGCCAUGCCGCGUGUGUGAAGAAGGUCUUCGGAUUGUAAAGCACUGUUCGUUGUGAAGCGGUACCUACAGAAUAAGCACCGGCUAACUUCGUGCCAGCAGCCGCGGUAAUAC
rnacentral:rRNA from 1 species